rnacentral:rRNA from 1 species
AUUGAACGCUGGCGGCAGGCCUAACACAUGCAAGUCGAACGAGUGGCGGACGGGUGAGUAAUGUCUGGGAAACUGCCUGAUGGAGGGGGAUAACUACUGGAAACGGUAGCUAAUACCGCAUACCAUCAGAUGUGCCCAGAUGGGAUUAGCUAGUUGGUGGGGUAACGGCUCCCCAAGGCGACGAUCCCUAGCUGGUCUGAGAGGAUGACCAGCCAAACUGGAACGGAGAAAGGGUCCAGACUCCUACGGAAGGCAGAAGGGGGGAAUAUUGCACAAUGGGCGCAAGCCUGAUGAAGCAAUGCCGCGUGUAUGAAGAAGGCCUUCGGGUUGUAAAGUACUUUCAGCGGGGAGGCGUUACCCGAAGAAGAAGCACCGGCUAACUCCGUGCCAGCAGCCGCGGUAAUUC